CCAUUCCCGGUUUUUGUGCUGCUGAGACCAACCCCAGGGCUCUGCGCGUGCUCAGCAAGCAUCCGACCAGCGGAGGAUGCUUGACCCUGGGUCUGCUCCCUUAACAAGUGGCCCAUACACUGAAGAUGGCCUGGAUCUCCUUAGCGCCAUUGUGGGGCCUCGGGCUUUUUCACAUAGUGGCACCAUGCCGGGUAGGAAUACAUCUUGACCUUUGCUGUGUCCCUAGUUCUGUGUGGCCCUGUUCGUGUCAUCCAGGCCCAGCCAGCGAGGACAAAGCCCCCUGUCCCCUCUCUGUAGUGUUUCUUGAAGCUUGGCUACUCAGCACCCAAUGUCAGUCCCACCUCUUCUUCUUGCUCCAGGGGCACCAAGAAAACCGCAGGGCGCCCUGCUGCCUCUGGCCACCCAUGAACGGGACCGUGGCGUCGGUUUAGAAGAGGCAAGCCACUCACUAAGGACCCUGGGCACUCUGGGUGGCAUUUCUGACACCACCCGGGAGCGUUUGGGAGGCUCUGACAGCUACUGGUGGGGGCUGGGAGAUAGGUAGAAGGAAGGGAAAUACAUUUUUAAAGAUAACCUGGAGGCAAAUAUAAUAUUUAUACUUAUUUAUCCUCAGAGCUCACUCGCAAGGCCCCAGACAUGUCUAAUGAGCAGGAAUUGCAAAAUGGCCACGAGUCCUACUUGUUUGCCUUUGCAGAUUCUCCUAGCAGGCACACGGACCCAGAUUUUUCAACUGUGCGACUGCUGCAGGCAAAACGGCUGUAAGGAACACCAGAGCGUGUAGCAAGUGUCUGAGUCCCAGAGGCACGGAACCACAAAACUGCCAACCCAGGAAAAUGAGGACCUCACUCUUGCUGGCUGUCCGCCGAGGAGACCCUCAACUGUGAGUGAGCCACAGUCACUGGCCUGGGGAUUUCUUCAGCAUGGCCACUGAUGACAUCAAGCAAGAGCCUGUAUCUAAGACAAGCAGCAUGGAGGGACAUUGUCACCUUUCCAGGUCUGUUAGAGAAUAACCCAGGAUAAGCAGUGACUACCACCACUGUACCAGUGAAGGAAUGUGGAGCUCAAGGAGACCCCCUCUGACCAGGGGAAGGCAGGGGCACUGUGGACUGGGUCAUGGCCACCCUGUCAUCAAAUACCCAGAGUUACUGAUGAAGACAAAACACAGAAGAUGCUCCGGACGCACCCUGGUCCAGGUCUGGUCACUAACACCCCUAAAUAACCCAGCUGGGACUUGGCUUCCUCUGACAGUCUCAUCUAUCUGUACCCCACCCACAGGAAGGAAGGCCACCUUCAUACUCCCUGAAUGGUCACAUGACUUUCCUGCAGCACACUCGGGCCAAAAUGAGGACCACGGAGGAUAACACUGGGCGUGGGUCUCUUUAUCUGAAGCACUUGUCUCUUGGUGCCUCAGGCCUCAGCUUCACUAUCACUGGUUCUUUGUGGCUGAGGUAAUAGCUUACCAUACUUGAUAGCCUCAGCACAUUUUUAUCAUCUUGGGAUCUGAGGGCCAGGAGUCUGAGAUGGCUUUCGCUGGACUAAACUCAAUCAAGGGGUGGCUCAAUUUCUUGUUGUCCCGGUUUCCUUGGCUCUGGGCCCCUUCCUGUCUCUGUCUCCGUAGCCAGCUGCGGCUGGUCACAUCUGUCUCGUGGGGCAUCACUCUGACUUGACUCCUCCAGGACACGUGAUAACACUGGGCCACACAGGUGACCCAGGACAAGCUCUCUGUUGUAAAGUCAGCUGGUUAGUAACGAACUAUACUCACAGCUUGGUUCCUCAUGGGUCCAGUGACAUGGCGGAUUCUCAGUCUCCAGGAUUAGGACUCUAGCGUCUUAGGCAUUUCUACUGCCAGGGACUCGUGGGGUGGAUGCUCUGCUCCUGUCCCAUGUCAUUCUUUACCCUUUGCCACCCACAGCCCUCCAAGGGUCUGGAGCUCACGCUAGAGCCAAGCAAAUGUAAAUUUAGUCUCUGGACGUGAGAUAAGGAAAAAUGAUAACACGUGGAAAAGAAAGAAAAUGGGAGGAGAGGGAAGGGACGGGCAAGGAAGGGGAGGGGAAGAUAAGAUGAAGGAGCAAAGGCACUUGCCACAUUUAUACAUUUUAAAACUCUGUGCGGCCCAUAGACGGCCAGUGUGCUUCCAGGCCUCCUAUUAGACCAAGGUCCCUUGCGUCCCAGCGUGAGCCAAGGUUGGGGCUGCAGAGAUAUCGUCAGCACCUUAGCAUUGGGCCAUCAGUGUCAAACCCCGGGGCACACCGAGCAGGUCUUCUCUGGGACAGAGUGGCCAGAACUGGAGCCUGUAUCCAGUGCCCCUUAGCGGGACGUCUUGUGCAAUGCACAACCUGCACCCGGUCUGUGGCUCUGUCCUGCUGUCCUAUACAGCGUGUGACACAAUGCACAAGUGCGGGCAGUGUGCUUGUUGAAUGUGUAAUUGAAUGAAACCCGGUGCCUUUCAUUCACUCUGCACCCUGCUCAGGGAUCUGUGACCUCCUUCUUCAGAGCGUUGGGCUCUUCAUAACAGGCUCUAGCCACAGGCACAGUGGAUACUGUGUGCGUGUGUGUGAGCAUCAAUUACCGGCUCCAUUGACCUGGAACCCGGAGUGGGAGCCUGUGCAGGAAGUGACCAUGGCCUGGACUGAAAAGGCCAGGUCAGGGAGCUGAACCAUGGGGCUUCUGGCCUGCCCUGGCAGCUGCCCCAGAUGCUUCCUUCCCACUCUCUCCCCUCACCCCCCUACCCCCACACAUUCGAGAUUCCCGGGAGGUCGAGCCUGGUGUAAUUACAGGGUAUCUGCUGCCUCCCUAUAAAUCUAAUAGACUUUUUGGCCUUGUCAGAUUAAAACUUACCUAUCAACCCGCCGCAGUCCUCUAGAUCUCCCUAAAUCUGUACUUGGGAGAGAAUUUAUGGCCAGGAAUUGCAUUUUGCAAAAUGAUUAAAGUUGCCAAACAGCCAUAAAAAGUUGCAGGAGGAGAUAGGGUUUUUUUGAAAGUCUGCUUAAUUUAUAAGGGGUGGAAGGUUUAUUGUCAUUUAGAGUCCACAGCAAGGCAGCGAUGGAGCGUUUGGCGGCAGCUGUGCACAGCUGCUCUUGCUUUAUGCCUUUUACAUGUUUUUAAAUUGCCCUGUUUGAAUCGGGGCUUCUGCAAGCCGCCGAAGCAGCCUGGUUCGCGGGAAGGGUGGUUCCCCCUGCCCUCUGACGCUGGCCUCUCUUGCCCUACUCCUUAAAUUACCCAAGACUCACCUCGCAGAAGUGUUCCUGAAUGAUUCAGACCCAAGAUGACCGCUCCCUGCCCUCCCCUGUCCUCCUGGCUAGCCAGGAAACACUAGCAAGCACCCACAUGUGCAAAGCUUUUAGGUUUAUAGGCGGCUUCUCGGGUCGUGUCUUAGCACUUGUCGCCCUGUAUUAGACGAUUAAACAAGAUCAAACACUCAAGGCUCCAAACGCCUGGCAUUACCUCGUGAGCUAAUAAAUAGAAUUAGGGCUCCCGUUUAUUGACCACAUGCGAGACACCGGAGCCUCUGCCCCACACCCCUAGCACGUUAAUUCACAGCAUCUUGGCUGCCUCUGUGGGAGACAGUGGUCAGUUCUACUUGGGUUUUGGGAAGUGUGAGGAACUUAAGGCCCAGGUCGUGCACUCAACACUCCAUGCACGUUAGCCACUAUUAGUAAUGCCGUUAGGGCCAGCGUCUCACUUAUCUGUCUCGCAGGCUGGCACGGAGCAGUCCCCGGGUGGAUGCUGCUGAGGGCGAGCCGCAUGCCUGCAUGCCUGCAUGCCUGCAUGCCUGCAUGAACUGAACUGUCCCAAGUGCUGUUUCUUAUCCCCCUGCCACCCCCUACUUCCUCUUACAGACAUCAGACCCUGGAUCAUCCGAAGUCCAGCUUAGUACUGAGCCUGGUGUUUGACGUAUCAUAGUUCUUUAUUCGUUAGAAAGAUGACUGAAUACAUUCAAUCCCCAUGGCCCUCUGAGGACAGUUUUAGGACUCCCAUCCUGCAGCAGGGAGGAGGCCGAGGGUGUCUGACACCUGCUCAAAUCACAGCCACCGUGUCAGAGCCAGGAUUUUGGAUUCCAAGCACCAUGUUUUGUUUUGUUGUUUGGUUUUCUCACCAGCGCCCACCUAACCACCUGCCAGGCAUUUGGGGGCGAUUCAGAAGUUUUUCUUCUUCAUCACCAUCCUGUCUAGUAUUUAUUAAAUACCCAUCACUCACCAGCUGCAUAGACUCCCAAGGAAGCCUCAUAGCAUCCUUGCGAAGUGUGUAUUAUUUCCCCCAUUUUACGGAUGGAGAAACAGAUCGAAGGAGGUUUCGCAGUGAUUGGCUGAGCUGAUUUCAGAAGCAAGGGUCAGCAUGACUGGGAUAAAGGCCGACAAGGGGCGACCUGCAAGCCCAGCUUGGCAAGGGCUGGCAGGAGGGUCAGAAAGCUUCUAGAAGACUACGUCCCAACUGGCCUUUGAGGACAGAGUGGAGCUUUGUCAAACAGUUGAUAGGAAUUGUUCUCUGGGCAAGCAAGAGCAGAGCUGGCUGGGCUGGGAGCAUUUGAGCCUGGCCUGAGUUGUCCUGAACGCCUUCUGGCUUCAGUCUUGAACUUACUCUUCCCUUUAAUGCCAAGAUGAUCAAGAGAGGAGGGUCUGUAGGCUGUUGCGCCCAGCUGAUCCUAAGGUUUCUAUCAACCACAUCCACAUUUUGCCCUCUUCUCCCCACUAGCCUCAUGCCUGCACUGUGGAGUAAAGAGCAGUUAGGUGUGGGAUGAUGAGUUGGAGCCACUUGGAUGUACUCCGGUGCCCCCCAGUGCCUCCCUGUCCCUUCCUGUAGAGCGGCCUGUCUUCCUGCUCACAGACAGGCUUGGCAGGCAAAGCAGCCUCCCCUUCAGUUUCCCCUGCUUCUCAAACAUUCCAGACACCCAAAGAUAUCUCCCGACUCGUCUCUGGUUCUUGUAUUCCUUCCUCCAUUCAUUCAUUUGCUGAGUCAUUCAACAGAUAUUUUCUGAGCCCUUAGCAUGUCCUGGGAGCUCUUCUGGGGGGCUGGGAACACAGCCGUGACUUCAGCUGACCUGUCUAUUGUCUGCACAUAGGUUACCACAACCGAAUGGAUAGACACGCUGAUUUUAGAGAGUGACACAAGCCUCGAUGCCAGUAAAACACAAGGCAUCAUGGGAUGCCUUUGUUAGGUUUGUAGGCUACAAGAGGGGACAUCUGCAAGGGGAUUUGUGUACAGUGAAGCUAAUCAGAGAAACAUCCGGAUGAAGAACAUCCCAUACCCAGUGAGCAGGAAGUGCAAAGGCCCUGGGGUGAGAGGGAACUUGACCAACUCCAGGAACAGCAGGAGGCUGGGGCCUAGAGGUGAGUAGGGAUCCAAUACACAGGAGUCGUGGAGAGGCUUUAGAUGUCCCCCUAAGCACAAUAGCAGCUCUUGGGAGCUUGGGUCCAAGGAGGACUCUGACUUGAUUUAUCUGUCUCUCUGCUUUUUGUACUGAGAACAGAGAGAACAUCAAGAGCUCUGGGGCCAGGGGAUGGCUUAGUUAUUGAAAUGCCCGCACGCAGGCAUGAAGACCAGAGUUCGAGCUCCAGUGUGCACUCAAACUAGCUGGGAAUGGUUCUGUGAGCUUGUAAUCCUAGAGCUGGAGAGAUGGACAGGGGGCUUCUUGGGACCAACUGGCUAGCUAGUCUAGCCAAAUAAUUGAGUUCAAGGUUCAUGACAGGCACUGUCUCAAAGGAGGUGGACAGUGUUCUUGAGGAUGACAUUCAAGGUUGUCCUGAACUUCCAACACAUCUGCUGGCACGUGCACACACACACACACACACACACACACACACACACACACACACACACACGCGCGCAUGCACGCACUCACACACGCACUUGAAAAAAAUGUGCCGGCCACCAUUCUGACACCACAGUCUUCUCUAGCACUGUUCAUUCCUCACACCUCCAUGUCUCUUUCCAGGAAUCCCACACUUUUUGCAAAGUCCCUGUUCACUCCUCAGGGCCCAGCUUCUAUGCACCCUUCUGGGGAGCCCUUCACCUCCUCCCAUGGCAGGAUAAAUUCACAUUCUCACUGUCAUUCCUAGUUCCAACCAUGGGCACACAUAGUGUGUCUCUGGUCCCUCCCUCCACUAGGCCAAGACUCCUUCCAACACUAAGAUCUUACUCUGAUGUGUCUCAGAGACCCCAAGCCUUUCCUAGCCUGGUCUGGGGGUGGAGCCUGAAAAAUAGUUUCUGGGUUGAUGUGAGUUAUUUGAGCACCUGGGUCAUUGGCUGAAGCACCAAGUUAGCAGGUGCCCUUUGAACAAACAAGGUUAGAUGUAUCUUACUGUUUUUCCUGGUAAUGCUCCACAAAGCCACACUUUUUGGGACUCCUGACCUCUGGAGGGUGUUCCUCAGUGUUUUCUAAAAUCAGUAGCCAGUGAGAGUCAAAAAUUGAAUGUAUAUCUCUCAAGAGCUGGUCCUGUAUUACCUUGAGAGAGUGUUUGUUAAAAAGAUUCUAGUUAGAACACAUCUUGUAAAUACUUGUGUUUGAAAAUGUACACUUGCAGGAUGCUUUGUGGGUUCCUGUACAUGUUCACUGCCGACUGUAAAUCUGUUUGUCACAGAUGCUUCCGAUCCCUGCUUGUUGUUUUCUUUUCCUUAAUUAAUCUAUUGAUGGAGAAUUAUGCAUCUUUUCCCAUGAAGCUAGGAGUGCGUUCAGGAGCUCAUUUCCUUGUCUGAGACAUGUGCAAAUAAAAGUUAAAGAAGAUCGAAA